rnacentral:tRNA from 1 species
GGAGAUUUAGCUCAGUGGUAGAGCGCUUGCCUAGCAAGCGCAAGGCCCUGGGUUCGAUCCCCAGCUCCG